rnacentral:rRNA from 1 species
GUAUGAAUGGCUCNNNGAGGGGUCGACUGUCUCCCAUGUCCAAUCAGUGAAAUUGAUUUCCCCGUGAAGAAGCUGAGAUAACAACAUAAGACGAGAAGACCCUAUGGAGCUUUAAANNNAUUAACACNUNCUUCANNNNNNNAAACCCCUUCUGGCACAAUUCAAUUAAGCCACCAUUGAUUAUUUGUUUUUGGUUGGGGCGACCACGGAGAAAAACAAAACCUCCGAGCCGAAUGGAAUACUUCUCCUAACUAAGAGCCACCCCUCUAAGUAUUAGAACCUCUAACGGUAUUUGAUCCAGCUUUACUGAUCAACGAACCAAGCUACCCUAGGGAUAACAGCGCAAUCUACUCUAAGAGUCCCUAUCGACGAGCAGGUUUACGACCUCGAUGUUGGAUCAGGACACCCCAAUGGUGCAGCCGCUAUUAAAGGUUCGUUUGUU